CCCCCCCCCCCCCCCCCCCAAGGAAUACUUCCAGGGCAAGAGGAGGUAUUUCCAGUGGAAAUGGUCAGGGGUUGUGGCCAGGACUUCCAGUGCCAAGAUGGCAACCAGGGAGCAGGGCACCUGUGAAGGGGUGGGGCUACCCUUGCAGUACUCCAUAGCUCACUAAAACUCAUUAAGCAGCCCUCCAGACUAAAUAAUUUCCCACCCCGGCUUAAUUGCAGUGUUGGUGGGAAAAGAAUUAAAUCAUGUCUUAUACUUCUCACAAUUUGAAGAUUUCUUCAAGUACUCAAAAGCUGACAUUCAAAAACUGAAUAGUCAACGUGAAUUCAUAUACUUAUUUAAAUGCAAGUUUAUUAUAUUUUUUUGGUGUAUAGUUUUUUGGGGAAUAUUUUAAAGCUCCCUCCUAUAAAACGACUUACUUUUGUCCCCAAACUAGUUACUGCAGCCUUUUCCUGAGAAUUUGAGAAAUAAGUAGUAGAGAAGAACCCACUCUUCAUAAAAGCUUUUGCCCUUUAAAAUAUAUUUCAUUUCUUCAACCCUGAACAUUUGAAUGCAAAGUUUCCCGGUUUCUGAACCUCAUGUCAGUACAUAUAUUUUGGGCUGGAUGCUAUUCCAUUUACUAGGUGUCAAAAUGAAAUUCUGUUCUGUUCUGUUCUGCUCAAGUCCCUAAAACAAUGCUAAUACAAAUGGUGUGUGGGUCCUUCUCCUUGAUGUUCUUUAUAGUCUUAAGGCUAAGAGUAAGACACCCUAAAAAGUAAGUAUUGUAAUAGUGUUGGGGUGAUGUAGCUGUUUUGUUUCAGGAAAUAUGGGAGAAGCAAUGAUUUUUGUGGGUGGUAUCUUUUAUUCAAGCAGUGCAUUGUUUGAGUUAGUUUCAGACAAACUCUGCAUUCAAAAGGUUGUUUAAAACUAUCCCAACCAUGCAGUAGAUCCAAUAAAAGAUAUCACUGCAUGGAAAGAUAUGUUGAUAGUUUUCAGAGACUUGACCUGGGUGGAAUAGGAUCAUACUUAGACACUUACAUGUUGACUAUUCAGUUUUUACAUGCCUCCAUGCUAUUUAGACAUGAGAUAGGUGGAAUAUAUUCUUCCCUUUGCCAUUUGAUUUGGCCAAGGUAAUAGGUGUUAAAAAUGAUGGAGUUUGUCUUCCCUUUUUAUUAAAUUAUUUGAACUUCUUAAGCCUGCCUUCAUUGAAUAUAUGUGCUUAACACAGUCAAUGUAUUUUAACUUUCCUCUGCUGGGUAAUGAGAACCUUGGAUUAUAAAAAUAAAACAGAGCUUGAACCAGGCUCUCAAACUUUGAUAGUAAUUAUUCCUCUUUUCAGUGCUUUCAAUUGCACUAAGUACCUCUUUCUUAUGUCUAAUGCUGUCUCUAUUCUAUACCUUCUUCCUUCCCCUCUUAAGUGCUUCAAUAUUCCCUUUCUCUUUUCCUCUUUUAAUUUCUAUCAGUUUCCUUUCUGAUGUCAGCUACUCCUCCUUCCCAUGGCUUGGACUAAAAUCAAGCAAAUCUAGAAAACCAAAGCAAUGCUGUCUACUCUCAAGUACAUCCAUACCUAUAUAUAGCUUACCAGUGUAGCUUACUGUUGAGUGUGUGCACGCACACACACAUGUGCCCAUGCACAUACACUCACAUCGUAUUUACUCAAAUAUAAGAUUAGGUCCCUCCCCCCCAUCAGCAUGGAGAAAAAAUGCUUCUCUUCUUACAUUUGCAUACAAGGAAAACUCAUUAAAUACAUUGUCUAUCAUUAAACUGCUGCAAAAGUAGCAUGUGCUCAGUAAUAGAAACCAAUUAUGGAGUAAAUUAAAUGCAGCCAAACUGAACAUGACUAUAAAACACAUGGCCCAUAUUGGGCAAACUUACUGAUGGCAGCCUCUUUUUUUUUUUUUGGUGUCUGGCCCUUAAAAAAACUGAGCAGAUAUUCCCUCUACAGGGAACUGGCAUCAGGCCUUGGAGAUACAGCAAUACCAGGACAGCUCUGGGAGGGGCAGGGGAGAGGGUGAAGAGAGAAAGGGAGAAAGAGGAAAAAGAGAGGAGGGGGGUGGAAGCUAGGUCACGUGGGUACUGUUGACACUGGAUUUGAACCUAGCACCUGUACUUUUGUUCCAGGCGGGCACAACCCUCAGACUGACCACAACACCUGCCAGUUGAUAAUAGGCAAAUUUAUUGAUACAGAGUAAGAACAGAAAAGCAGCAAUACAAACAAUUCUUUAUCUACCAAUCCUAGGGCUGUCAAAGUACGUCUGGCUAGGAUGCAGGCUCCACUCAGGCUCUUUCUCUUAGGUGUCAGCAGUCUGGAGGUGAGAUGCCAAGGCCCACAGGCUCCCUCCAGUAGGGUGCAUGAGAUGGGAUGCUGGUAUGCCCUCAGUCCAUGGUGACCUCAGGGACCCUUCCCAGGGGAUGGGGAUGGGAAGAGAAGGAGGGAUGGGACAAAGGGAGAGGUGGCAGGGACAGACAGGACAAAGGGAGAGACGGGCAAGACAAAGGGAGGGACCCUCUGUUACUCUCAGGUUUCUGCUUUGGUAUUCUCCUUUCCCUUGAUGACUCCUGAUGUCUCUUUAUGUGUGGCUAUCUCCAGUUGGUUCUCCCUCUGUGGUCACACAUCCACGUUGUCUCUGCUAGAGCUCAGCCCAAUGUACUAUAUGGUAAAUCGUGAGCCUUUUGGCUCUGGACUAAUAUAAUGCAUAACUUGUACUUUCUCUAAGUAGGUGCCAAAGUGCUGCUUAAAUGUGCAUUUCUGAAAUGCCUGUGCUAAAACUUGCAGCAAUUUCAAAAAAUGUUAAAUGCAUCAAUUCUGGAUGAAUAGAUUACUACAGGCAAAUUUAUUUCAAAAUGUUCAGUGCAGGAUCUAACAGUAAGAGAGAAGACAGGGUUUCAGGGGAACAACUGCUGUGGCAGUGGGAGGAGUACAGAUUCAAGGCAAACCUCCAAUAACUAGAUUUAUGUGCCUGGAAAAUUAUAGCAAAUGUAUAAUUUCUCCAUAUAUAGAAUCUAAUUAUUGGGGAAUUGUUUUAUGUUCAGGGUCAUCUUAUAUUUGGGUAAGUAUGGGGUGUUGUAUGUAUGCAAUGGUAACUCACAAACUACCUGUCAAAGCAGCCUCUUAAGAUUAAAAAAAUGCUUGGGGAAAAUUGUUUUCUGUGAUCAGGAAGUAUUUUCUUCUGUGAUCAUUAUGCACCAUACCAAAGUAGUAAAGCAUGCAUACAUGCAAGCAUGCCACCAUGAAGGCAUUUUUAAUGACUAUGUAAGGAAAAAAUAUAUGAAACUAUUUAAUAUGGCUUUAAAGUAGUUCAUUCAUUACUGUACUACUUGUCAGACCUAAGGCAAUUUGGAGUGUCUUAGUUGUCCAUUUCUAGAUUUAUGUAUUCCUGAAUUUCUUUUAAAGUUAACUUCCUCUGAUUUUUCUGCAUUUAAAAUAUGUGGCAUUAAAAGAACAGCCCUGAAAUGUUUAUUACCUUAAAACUAUGGUACAUGUUCUUGACUCCAUUUUAGAGUAUUGGGAAUAUAUCAUACAAUUCCAUAAAGUAUUUUGUAUUGAUUUCUUAAAACAUUUUCCCCAUUUUUCUAUUACAGCACAAUCAUUUAUCUCACAUUCAACCUUUUUUUUAAAGGUUCAAUCCAAAAUAGUUUGGAAUCAUGUGAAUCAUUUCUGUAAGAAAUCAGUUUUGUGCUGAAUAUAAAUACACUUUGAACGGCAGCAGUCUAAAUCACUUGAUUCAUUUUAGUAUCAAACUUUAUCUUGUUUGUUUUGUCUUCUCUUGCUGUGUUGCUCUUUAUCUUGAUACUUAAAAUUCCAAUCAGUUCUCCAGCCCUUCCAGGAAACUCCAGUUCUAUGCACAUUUUAGCAUUUGUAUAUACCAAGGGUUUUACGGACUUUUUUCUUCAGUAUGUUUUUUUUCUUUAUUUCACCUUUUCAGCAGCCUCAGUGGCAAAAGCAACUUCAUAAAUUGCCUUGGAAUCCGAACUUCUCCCCUAUCAAGUAUUCUUUCUCCAUCAGUUUUCCAGAAACAAAUGUUACUUUGUUCAUUCUUUACACCAUGUUUGUGUGCAUUGACAUCCAUUACAUUGAGCCUAAGUAUAUAUCUGGAAAUCUAUUACCUUCUAAUAAUAUUAUCUUUAUAAUGUUACAUAGUAGUUAUUAAGUAUAUUAAAAAAGAGGAAUACAAUAUGUUUUAUAUCUAAAUGGUGCUAGAGUUUCAGAAGGGAGCAUUUAAUCAACUUCAUAAUUGGUUUCCUAGCAAUUUCUAAAAAUCAGAGCAAUAUAGCUUGUAUCAAAUUUAAGAACCCAAAAUUCUCCAGCCACAUUUGAAAAUCAUUACCAAUAUAACCAGGUUCCUGUCCUGAGUCUGGUAUUGUUUAACAUCUUUGUAACCUCCCAUGAUGUUCACUUAAGCGCUUCGCCUUUUGCCAUUCGGAUGCAGCUGUCUCCUUUUGAGUUGACAGCUGCCUUCCAGUAAGAUACCUUGAAAGGUUCUCAGGGAUUCUUGCCUGCUGCAUCUUGUUGUUACAGAUUAUUGCUGGGAGGACAUUCUUGAAUCCUGCCCCUCCUGAUUCCCUCUUUUGGCUUCCUUACCUGGAUCUCCAUCUCGGAUCUCUGCCUCCCCUACACCCUGCCUUGCGCCAACCAAAGAUGAAGAUAAUCCUUAACUGAGGCUAAAAUAAAGUCUACCAGCCACAGCUGGGCCUUAGUUGGUAUCUAUUCACAGUCCUGGUUUGGAUGGUGUACCAUCCUUAUUCAAGCCUUGAGUCAGUCUGAUUCAUCCUUAUGUUCGUCCUGGAGUGCCUUACUCCCAGGCACUCUCCCUUUCCCUGAUGGCUACUUAGAGCUUCAGCCUCCUUUCUUCUUUUUCUCUUCACAGACUCACCUGUGUACCAGUUUCUACCAGCAUUAUCCGGGAUCCACGGCCUCAAGAAAGGGCACCUGAAAGAAGGAAAAUACCACACGCUAGAAAUGAAGACUGCAUUAUGUCCUUUGCCACAGCUGCCUUCAUCUUGUCUGUAGGAAGUUCAGAGCUUCUCUAGCUGUUAGCUGGAGAGAAAUGCUAGAAUAGCAGCAUUUUUGGUCAACAUGUACUGCCUGAAAGAUCAAUUACUCCCAAGGGGAAGUGUAGCUGACACUCCUUACCUAUAACAAAAUGCUGAAGCUGUAGUGCACUUUGGACUGCCAAAGUGACUCUGGAGCAUUGAAAAAUUAUGCUGUGUGGCAAAAACAAAGGAUCUUUCCCUGAAGAAGAACUGUUUGGAUUCAUUUAAUCAGCUGCUGAUAUGAGAGACACUCCUAUACAGCAGGUGGUAGGUUGUACCUAAGUGAUAUGCUGUGCUUGACAGGUCCGUGAGUCUGCUGGAGGCUGAAUAUUUGACAUGUUGGUUGCAUUUGAACAUAAAACUGGCUGCAGUUUCUAUUGCUUCACUUAAGCAAAGGUUUAAGAAAAAAACUACAGUUACAAAUUGCAAGUAAAUGGUUUUGCUGAAUGCAUUGCUGUAAUAUAAAAUAUAAUUACUUUUUUUUAGUUUCAGAGGUGGCUAUCAGAUCAGGACCCUUUGUGCUGUAUUUUCCAACUAUAUACCACGAUACAGUCCCUGCCUCAAAGAGGUUACUAGGUAAAUUAAGACAAGUACAAAACGUUGACAUAGAAUGGGGUGGGGAAGAGAAUGACAGGAACAGUGAUAAGAGGUUGUUGGCUUAUUAUUCAAUUUACAGGUUAGCGGUAGGUUGUUUAAAAUAGAGACAUUAAUUAUGUCCAUAGCCUCAGAAAACCACCUGUCUAUCCAUUAUCAGCUCACAACUUACCAUAGAUAGCAUGGAAGAAAUGGGUCUUCAGGAAAGAUUUUGAAAUCAAUUAAUACAAAACAGGAAGAUGUAUGAAACCAAAUUAAAUAGUAAGUUAUCUUGAUUUGAUCCCUACCUUUCUUAGAGUCUGAGUUCUGUUGUUGUUCACAAAUUUCUCUCACAUUUUUUUUGUCAAUGUUGAAUGCUCUUAAUUGAAUUCUGGCUUUUGCUUUCCUGCAAUGUUAAUACAACUGUACAAUGAUCAGAAAAGUAAAAAAGACAAAAAAAUCAUAACUGUUGCUAAGACCAAGGAGCCAGACAUUUCCCAACCAAUUAUUGAAACAGUUACACAGAUUGCAAUGUGUUUCAACUGUUUAUUACAACUUAAGGUAAAUUUAUUUGAAAGCUAUAUUGGCAGAUGCAAAUAAAAAUAUACAUCAUUGGUCUUGGGCUUAUUAUAUAGUUGGAUCAACAAACAGCCUUGUUUCACAUGUGGUAGGAAAUGGAAAUGUCUAAGUACUGGCCAAAGGAAGAUCUUUGUAACCUUUGUUGCUGAAAUAUUUAUUCAUUGUAAAUGUGGAAGCAAUCAGUUCGGCCCAAAUCCUGGUUCGCUUAGGAAUCUAGGUGCCUGUACAUGAGUGCGGAGGCUGCUCUGAGGCACUGUAAUUACUGACACGAUUAAUCAAGUCUUCUGGAGCAUGGUAAUUACCACACUCCAGCAGCCUCCCACUUCUUCUCGUGUACCAGCAUCCCUGUGCUUCAAAAUGGUGGAGGCACUUGAACUAAAGCUUGUCAAAUGAGCUUUAGUUCAAGUACUUGCACCACUAUUUUGAAUUGUGGAAAUGCUGAUACAUGAGAUGCUGUGGUAUUUUAAUUAGAACAGCUUUCAGAGCCACUCUCAUUAAAGUGUCUCCCACCCCUCCACCCCCAGAGCAUGUGUAGAAGUGCCCUAAAUGCUUCUUACACAUUUAAAUGUAGAAACUGAAGGUGCACUUUGUGCAAUUUACAUAGGUUUUAGAUCCCUUUUCCAUGUGCACAACUAGACUUGUCCUUCUGAGCAUGCUUAGAAGGAAUUGCUAUCAGCCAUUUGUGGUGAUUCUUUUCUUCCUGGGAAGACACAGAUCUUUGUAAAUCCCCAAGUUCCAGGUGCCUCUCAACAUGUAAAUGUGGAAAGAAGGCAAGUCAGGGAGUGAGUGGCAACAUGAUUCAGUGAGAUGGGCACCAUUCCAGAAAGGAGGAGGCUGGAUUCUGGCCUCUACUCCUCUACUGCACAAAAAUUUUCCUAACAAUUUUUUCUGCACUUUACAUAUAGCAGUGUUUAGUAAACAGUUUUAGGGGAAUAAAUCAGAAAUGUUUUCAUUCUCUCUCUCUCUCAAUUUGAUAAUAUUUUUAUUUGUUUGUUACUCUUUGUAUUAACAUUCGGGUCUUAUUUUUAUACACACAAAUUCAAUUUGGCAGAGUCUUAUAUAUGUAACUUCACAAACUCAAUAGGAUUACUCCCACAUAUAAAUUUAAACAUGUGGAUUGAUCGAUAAAAAAUAUUUGUGUAUCAUCUGGGUUUUUGCAGGGCUUUCAGCUGUAAUGUGUUCAAAGGGAAAAUCUACAGUAGCUGGCAAUUCUAAUUCAGUAUCAGCAAAAAAUAAUUUGGAUGUGAGCAACAUUGGACUAAAGUGGUUAGUGAGAUGAAAUUUCUAAUUUGCCAUUUCAGGAUUGUUAACUCUGAACAGCCAAAUCAUAAUUAUUUAUGAUUAUUAUUUUAAUGUAUUGUUUUAGUGUAUAUGAAUAAUAUUUAUUAUUGAUAGCAAGGAAACCUAGAUGAUUGUUCUAUUUCAAAGCAAAUAAUAGAUUUAAAACCUGUCUCCCAUUUUGAAAGUGUGUUUGUGAGAGGUUUUCUAUACUUCCAUGAGGAAUAUUGGGAGGGUUAGCAGUAUCUUUCAGUGUCUUUGUUGUAACUCUUGCUUAUAUAGAGCGGCAGUUACACAAAAAUGGCAUUUUCUAAAAAAAAAAAUGCAACUUUAGUGCAAGUAUUUGUUAUAAUAGACAGGAUCUGUAAUAUUAAUUGGCAUGGCUAGUGCUGUGAAUAAGUCAGCAGGGACAUUUAGUAUGGAUAGAACUGAGAUAGAUUUUUUUCUGCUUCCUAUAGCAUAAUGUGGAACACACAAAACUACUUAAGUAGGUAUUGCAAACAAUUGCCAUUAUGAACUGAUCCUGUAAGUGAGAGCUCCCACUGGAAUUGCAUGGUCUCUCUGUUGCUUUAGUCUUUGCAUCAUUCUUUAACAAUUAAGAACACAAAGUAUUUUAACGGUAAAUAUAUUUAAAUGAAUAUAGUAAAUAUACGAGAUUUAGUAGGAAGGAUUUUUGAUUCUCCUGUUUCCAUAAUUAAUCUUCUUUACUUUAACCCUCUGCACUUUAUAAUGUAUGUCAGGAUUAGUAUAAUAACCUAAUUUAUGUGACCAAUAUAUGCACACUGUACCUCACCUCAGAAGAGCUCAGGCGGAUUCAUUUCAGGCACCUUAGACAGAUCCAUGGAUUGACUUUUAUAUCACACAAACUGAAGUAGCAGGUUAUGUAACAAUAAUAAGAUACUUUCGUGACAGACAGCAUAUGAAUAUAUAAGGCAGAUAAUAUGUAGUAUUCACUAGAGAGAAAAAUCAAAGAAAGCCUUCAACUGAGGUAGGUGAAAUCCAAACAUGGGGCAUAAAUGCACUAGUUCUGUCUUAAUUUUUAGUGUUUAGAUAAAAGAAAGUGUUCUUUAGAACAAGUGAUGUCUUAUAAGUUAGGGGAAAAAGCAAGGUAGAUUUGUACCUUAUGAACUAAACCAGAGAUGCUAUGCAUAGCAUCUCUGGUUUAGUUAGUCUAUACGGUGCAAAUCUACUUUGUCUUCUUCCUGAUUUCAGACUAGCACAGUAACCACUUAUCUCUGCUUAUAUAUUUUGGGCCAUUUUUGUUCUAAUUGUUCAGACUAACUUGUUUGGCAGACCAGACAAAGACAAUGCACCUUUUCUUCUUACUGCAUCUGGCUGAUAACUUGAAAGAGGUCAAGUUUGGUAUAGAACUUGGAGCCCUGUGAGCAUGUCUGUCCUCAUACACCUGCAUUACAGACCUUUCAGAUGGGAGGAAAUGCCCAAAAUGUUAAACUCCUUUAUACCUCAUGGCUGUCAUGCCCACUGCCUUUGUGUAGUGGUCAUUGUCAUUAGUGAACAAUAAAGCUAAAUAGAAAAAAUGUAGAAUCAGAGCUUCUAGUUUUCACUAAAAUAGAAAAGUCAAGCACAUUUUUCAAUGCAAAAGUCAACCAUAUACCUAAAUUGUCAUCUUCCUGUAAAGUAUUUUACAAGGAUAGCAGCACAAACUAUGAUGUUAGGAUUGUCUCUUUAGGGUACAGUACCUUAAUAUUGAGGAAUUUCAAUCCCAGGAGAGAGAUCCUUCUUCAGCUGGCUGUACAAAAUAUGUCAUAUUGCUUCAGAAAACACAUAGUAUCAUAGUAUCAACUACCAACUUGUUGCUUUUUUUAUAUCUUGCAUUCAUCAUGGAUGGUCUGGAAUGGCAUUAUAUGUCCCAAAAGGCAUUCUGGCACGUCAUACCCAAAUGAUAUCACUGGAUAAAAGGCUAUUAUCUUAGCCAGUCCUGAUCAAAGUGGGCAUGUCAAUUCCAACUGUAAGUGGCUUCUAGGAAACUUGUGGAAUUUUUGGGAAGGAAAUUGGGAUCCAUUCCUUUUAGAACCACUUAGAAUCUUUUCCAUCUGGUUAAUGAUUUGGAAUCGUAUUUCAAAAAGCACUAGUAAUAACUACCAAGUUUUCUGUGUUAAAGUACUGGCCCCACCAAAGAAAUCUACACCUUGGGAAUUUUCAUCCACAAUUUAUUCCUGAAUGCUACCUGACAUUACUUAAUAUUAUCUGAUACCACCAACUUCUAUAAUGAAUUUAUACAACCCCUGCUUAGUGCUUUUAAUUGGUUCUGGAAAAACUGAGCGCUAAGUGAAACAGCAUUAGGAUUUAAUGUAAAUAAAUAUAAUUGGUUCCACACAACGUGCUGCCCUGCCCUGGGCCCGACCACUGCCAGAUUGCUGCAGGCUCAGGACAGUAUCCAUGCCUUGCAGGUGAGUGCAUGACUGGAAUGGCACGGGCUGCAGCCCAGGAGCAGGAGAGGCUCCACAGGCUCUGCCCUGCUAUGGGCUGGGGCAGGGGACAAUGUGCACAUGUCCUACCACCCCGGGCCCCGCGCUCCUGCUGCCCCGUCAGUCCAGGCCACGUUCACACCCCCUGCCCACCUGUCCUUUUUUGCUGCCACCGCCACUCUUCCCCACCUGCCCACCAGCUGUGGGCUCCUGCCACCCCGCCCUCCCUGGGCCCUGCCAGCCCUGGCCCUAGGCACCAGCCCGGGCUCCAUGUUCAUGUGUCCCUCUCCCCCCACUUCUCACUGCCGCUGCUCCUCCCCACUGAUUCCAGCACCACGUGCAGGAGCAAACCCCACUCUCCUGCUGCCCUGACCUGGGCCCCUGCUGGCUGUCACUCACCUCUUCAUUCUCUGCCGCCGCCAUCGCUGCUUUUCCCCAGCCCCACGCUGAGCAUUUUAAUGAAACUGCACACUAAGUGAAACCAGGUACAUACUUUAGACGAGCACUAUAACGAAACUACAGUAAGUGAAACUGCGUUAAGCGGGGGUUGCCUGGAUAUGCCAAGAAUGAGCAAGAUCAAAUUACACAAGAGAAUGGAAACAAACUGAGCUGCCCAUGUUCCAGUUAUGGAACUUGGCAGACCAUUAAGACUGUAUAGACUGUAGUGUAGAGAAGACAGAAUACCCAGCCAUGGCAAAUUUCAUAGGAAUAUCACAGUUGCUUUCCAAAAGCAAAGCCACUAAAUGAGGUAAAAGCUUUCAGUCAUGCAGCAAAAAUGAUGGUUUCUAAGAGAUGGCAGAUACCAAGUGUAGACACAACCACAGCAUACUAUCAUUUAUUGAGUGCUUUACAUCACCUUCAGCCUAAUAAGGCUAGAUAAUACCCAUAAUGAGUUCAGCAACCAUUUCUAAACAAUUGUUAGAAGCUGCCUGCUUUGAUUUCUGAAUGCAAGUGGGCAGCAGCAUCCCCCAAAUCUGUUGAUUUCAGCUAGUCAGUGUAUCACAUAAUGUUUCAAUUAUACACCAACCAAGCUUAUGUUCUAGAAUUACAUAGCUUCAGAUUUGCCAUCACUUCUAAGUUUACCCAGAGAGGUUUGACAGAAAAGGUUUGCCCUUGAUCUAUGUUCUGUUUUCAGAUAUGAAGAAAAUGUUCAGUGUUAAUUCAAAUAUCUGCUUGUAUUCAGAGAAGAAAUCUUACCCCUGUGGACUAGCUGUGACCCAGCUAACUCAUCAGCAUUCAUUUUUGCAAAGGCCACUCAUGCACAAUGACUAAGGAGUUUUGAUUAUAUGCACAAUAAAUUUUGAUUAUA